UACGUAGGGAGCAAGCGUUGUUCGGAUUUACUGGGCGUAAAGGGCGCGUAGGCGGCUCUGUAAGUCACUUGUGAAAUCUCUGAGCUUAACUCGGAACGGUCAAGUGAUACUGCAGUGCUAGAGUGCGGAAGGGGCAAUCGGAAUUCUUGGUGUAGCGGUGAAAUGCGUAGAUAUCAAGAGGAACACCAGAGGUGAAGACGGGUUGCUGGGCCGACACUGACGCUGACAGCGCGAAAGCCAGGGGAGCAAACGGG
rnacentral:rRNA from 1 species